rnacentral:rRNA from 1 species
GGAAAACUCACCAGGUCCAGACAUAGAUAGGAUUGACAGACUGAUAGCUCUUUCUUAAUUCUAUGGGUGGUGGUGCAUGGCCGUUCUUAGUUGGUGGAGUGAUUUGUCAGGUUAAUUCCGUUAACGAACGAGACCUUAACCUGCUAAAUAGUUUCCAGAACUUAGGUUCUCGGGUUACUUCUUAGAGCGACUUCGUGUGUUUAACGCGAGGAAGUUUGAGGCAGUAA